AUUGAACGCUGGCGGCAGGCCUAACACAUGCAAGUCGAGCGGUUGAAGGGAGCUUGCUCCUGGAUUCAGCGGCGGACGGGUGAGGAAUGCGUAAGAAUCUGCCUGGUAGCGGGGGAUAACGUCCGGAAACGGGCGCUAAUACCGCAUACGUCCUGAGGGAGGAAGUGUGGGAUCUUCGGACUUCACGCUAUCAGAUGAGCCUAGGGCGGAUUAGCUAGUUGGUGGGGUAAAGGCCUACCAAGGCGACGAUCCGUAACUGGUCUGAGAGGAUGAUCAGUCACACUGGAACUGAGACACGGUCCAGACUCCUACGGGAGGCAGCAGUGGGGAAUAUUGGACAAUGGGCGAAAGCCUGAUCCAGCCAUGCCGCGUGUGUGAAGAAGGUCUUCGGAUUGUAAAGCACUUCAAGUUGGGAGGAAGGGCAGUAAGUUAAUACCUUGCUGUUUUGACGUUACCAACAGAAUAAGCACCGGCUAACUUCGUG
rnacentral:rRNA from 1 species